GGGUACAUGCCUAUAAAUCCUACUACAAGAGAGUUAGGGCUUGGCAGGAUAGCUUCAGUUCUGGAAUUAUAAGGUGCAGUGGGGUAAGCCAAUCCAGUGUCCACACUAAGUUCAGCAUUAAUAUGAUGAGCCCCUGGGAGUUGGGGACCACCACAUUGUCUGAAGAGGAGUGAGCUGGCACAGGUAAGAAAUAAAACAGGUCAAAGCUCCUGUGCCAGGCAGUAGAGGAAUCUAGCCCUUGAAUGGCUACUGUACCUCUAGCCUGGAAGAAUUAGGAAGAUCCAGUUCAAU
rnacentral:SRP_RNA from 1 species